rnacentral:tRNA from 1 species
UCUAUAGUUGAAUUACAACGAUGAUUUUUCAUGUCAUUGGUCACAGUUAAGUGCUGUGUAGAAAUAAUG